rnacentral:tRNA from 1 species
UCCCAGGUAGCUCAGUGGUAGAGCGAUCGGCUGUUAACCGAUUGGUCGGAGGUUCGACCCCUCUCCUGGGAGCCA